GACCAUUUGCGGUGGCGGACAUGGAACCAUACUCUGACUCUUCAUAUCAGUUUUAUGAUUAAAAAAGCUUAUUAAUUGAUUAGUUCGAUUAAUCCACAAAUCUCCUUAUUUAAUUUGCAAAAUUGGGUUUACCUAUAGUGGACUGGUCGUUAGUGGGUGCAGAUCCUUGAUCAAAGUGGUGAACGGUGGUGCGAAUAUAAAAAUAUUAGAAAAAGAUAGCAUUCACGAUAAUAAUAAUGUGUUUCAAAAAAAAAAAGAUAGCAUUCACGAGAAAGGAAAACAUCUAAUGAUUGGUCGAACAGUACAAAAAAAACGUGUUCUGUAGUGAUAACUCGAUGAUGUUUGUACCCUGCAGUCAGGGCCAUUAGACCAUUGUUAAGAAACAUUUUAAUAAAAACCAUAUCAAAUGUUUUUCAAAUUGUCCAA
rnacentral:lncRNA from 1 species